rnacentral:misc_RNA from 1 species
AAGUCGUAACAAGGUCAUCGUAGGUGAACCUGCGGUGGGAUCAUCACCAAAUUUUAAAAUUUGUGUAGGUACUAUUUCUAUAUAAUUUAUAUAGAGUAGCCUAUACUAAUCGUGUGAAUGAAAAAACCUUUUUCUCUUUGUGGGGCUUUUUUGUAAAAGAUUGCCCCUAAAGUUAAUACUAAACACUAUAAAAUUUCCGUAUAAACUCUAUGGACUUUUAAACUAAAAAAUUAUAUAACAACUAUCAAUGGUGGAUCACUUGGCUCUU